rnacentral:rRNA from 1 species
CGCGUAGGCGGCUCGGCCAGUCAGGCGUGAAAUUCCUGGGCUUAACCUGGGGACUGCGCUUGAUACUGCCAGGCUUGAGGCCGAGAGAGGGUGGUGGAAUUCCCAGUGUAGAGGUGAAAUUCGUAGAUAUUGGGAAGAACACCGGUGGCGAAGGCGACCACCUGGCUCGGUACUGACGCUGAGGCGCGACAGCGUGGGGAGCAAACAGGAUUAGAUACCCUGGUAGUCCACGCCGUAAACGAUGUGUGCUGGAUGUUGGGGUUCCUAGAAUCUCAGUGUCGUAGCUAACGCGGUAAGCACACCGCCUGGGGAGUACGGCCGCAAGGUUGAA